AAUAAUAGAGAUUACACAAAUUACUCUCUCUCUCUCUCUUUAUUAUUUUCUUUAUCGGUGAUAGAAAGAUGGCUAUAUCCUCAAAAAUUUUUGUGACCUAUCUUGUCCUUGUUGCAAUUGCGUCAGGUAUCCUCAUUUUUUCAAGUAAAAGAAUUAUUAUAUUCAAAGACAUAGAACCAAUAUUUAAAUUUUGUUGGCUUAAUCUUUAAGUUGUUAUGCUAAAUUUAUAAUCUUAAAAUUUUAGGCAAAGGUAUAUUAUUUUUUGUAUUUUUGAUGAAUUUCUACACAUAUAUUUAUAUAUUAUUAGUCAAAAUUACUAAGUUCAAAUAAAUACAGUGUUAAAAUAUCACAUCUAUCCUUAAUAGUUAUACUGUUAAAUUCUUUAUUUAUUAGUUAACUUGUGCACAUCUCCAAACAUUAUAGUUAUAUAUCUACAACUCAUAAAUUUAAACUAUUAAUUAAAAUGCUAGUUUAUUUAAUUUUGUCACUAACCAUUGUGUAUAUAAUGACAGGUUGUUUAGCGCAGGACAAAUGCACAUGUUCCAAUUAUUAUAAUAAAAUAUGCAAAGACCUAUCUUUUGCUGCUAAUCGUGUAUGUGAAGGUUUUUGUAGUGAACGAUUUGAAAAAAUAUGUGGAGCAAGAUGUGUACAAGAUGAUGAUAUUGUUUGUGAAUGUAUUAUUUCAGGAGAUAUAUGUGGCUAAAAUUAAGAAUUAUAAAUCUUUAAUUUAAUUUUCUCGAAAUGAUGAUUAAUUUCCUGUACCUUUGAAUAAUAUCAACUAUUAUAAUAAAAAUAUAACCUACUAUCUUUUUCGUCUUCAUCGUCGUCAUCUUUUUCUAUUAUUAUUAUUAUAUUAUUAUUAUUAUUAAGUUUAAUUUAUGUUUAAUUCAAUUUAUAAAGUUAUGUCUGAGCAUGGUUAUGCACACAUAUGAAUUCUGAGAAACAUAGAAUCUGAAGUGAAAAAUUACAACUUUGAAUUGAUGGACAGACUAUCUAUUUGAAUGACUUAAUUAUUUAACGUCAAAUAAUUAGAUAUUUGUAAAAUCAGAAAACUUGAAUAAUUAAAAUUAGUUAGGUUGACACGAUCAUAUCUUAAUUAAAAUUCUCUUAUAAACGAUAUUUGUGGUGUAUAUUCUAAAUUCGAUAUUUUAAUUAGUUUUGCAUAUCCAGAUUCCGUUAGAAGAAUUAUAAUACUUAACUAAGGCUAAAUAUAAAAUUAUCAAUCUAAUAUUCUUAACUUUGUACUUUCUCGCUUUUAAUUUAUUCUUUUUAUUUUUUUAAUCUAUUAUAUAUUUUAAAAUUAUAUAAAACACACCAUAAAUCAUAACUAUUUAGUAACAAUUUAAAAGAUUUUAUUGACUCUUAAAAUUAAUGUCACAUAAAUUGAGAAAGAGAGAGUGACUUAUACUAUGUGAAAAUUACAUUAAACAUACUGUAAAUCAUAAUAAUUAAUAACAUAAAAUAUUUAAACAUCAUACAAAAUAUUUGGUUGGCUCUCCAAAUUUCACCUCUGUCACAUUACAUAGGGGUCGUUUGGUAGAGUGUAUAAGAAUAAUGCAAAAUAUAGUGCAUUAGUAAUUUUUGCAUUAGUAAUGCUUGUAUUAAUUAUGCAUUGAUUAUUUUUUAUACAUUGUUUGGUUUGAUGUAUAAGAAAUAAUACAUCUUACAUAGUUUCUAUAAAAAGAAAUUUUUGUUUACAAAAAUCCCCUUUUUUGAUUUUGUACACUUUUUUGCAACAAAAUUCUUUUGUCAUUCCAAACAUAAUUAGUAUUGUUGAACUAUUAUAUAGGGGUUUAGGAUUAAUUGCAAGACCUUCAUCUUUGCGCAGAAAUGUAAUGCCGACUGAUUAACAUAGUCGAAACAAAAAUAAAGUACAAAACAUAAAAUUAAGAAAUAGUCUCAAAAUUUUAUAGGUUAUUGCAUGUGUUUAAAUUCUUUGUAUUACUAAUACAUAGGAAUUAGAGUGUAUUACUAGUACACACUUCAAUACAUAAUAGAGUAUCAAAUGAUCACAAAGUUUAACAAUUUGGGUGUGAACCAACCUCAAACAUAAAUAAAUGCAGUCCAGUAGACCUCGGCUUGGUGAUAGAUUUAUGGUAUUAGUAGUUACUUUGUAGAUUAAUGUGGAGUGAAUCCAGAGUCGGUGAACAUUGUGGGAAAUGCAUAGAAGGUAAAUUUGAAUUAUGGUAAGGCCUACAACUUUAAGUGGUGGAGUCAACCCAACUACUCAUCAUGCAAUAAUAAGGCUCAGACUCAGUAGUUUUAGAAGCAGCAUAGCAUGUAGGCUAGUAAUAUUGAAGAAGAUCCUUGCUAAAAAAAGAAAAAAUCAUUGUAGAAAUUCAAAAUCAGCAACUUGCUCAAAAGAACUUGGAAACAUAGUUAGGACAGUUAGCUCAAAACCAGAAUACAAAACCUCAAGGGGGUUUUCCUAGUGACACAAAGAAUCCUAACCAGGUAAUGGCAAGGACCUUGAAGAGAGGGACAUACCUUAUAGAUAAACCUUCAAAGAAAAAUCAGGAGGUACAUGAAGAGUUAGUCCCACAACAAGUAGAUGAGAAGCAAGUUGCACCCAAAGAUGCUGAAGUCUAAGUGCCUGAAAACAAUGGCAGCUUAGCAUGAACAAGAUAUACCACCACCACUAAUGCCUCAAGAGUUCAAAAAGGGCCAAGGAGGAUGCUUGUUUUAAGAAGUUCUUUGACACAUUCAGAGAAAUAACCUCUCUACUUCUUUGGAGGUAGCAAUAUGGACUGCGUACAUUUUACCCUCCCAGACCUCACUUUGUGGGAAUACACUAGAUUUGUUGUUGUUGUUGUUGUUGUUUGACACAUUCUUAGAACUUCAUAUUAACUUUAAGAAGUACUGGAAGGAUAUGGUGACCAAUAAGAUGAAGUUGGGGGAUAUUGAAAUUGAAUCCUACUCCCAAUUUAAUGACACUGAUUACUGGACUAAACUAAGUUUAACUAAACAAGGAACUGAUCAUGAUAACUACUGAAUGAUACUGCUAAUGGUUUAUCUAUUACAGUUUUGAAACUAUUGAAAUUUCGCAAAUAGCUAAGUAACGGGUGUUCAUAACCCUUCAACACUCAAUGGAAUUAAUAAUAAGAAUACAUGAAAGCUUGAAAUCAUAUUAGAGAAUUAUUAUUCAAAAUUCAUAACUUUGGCUUUUCGUCAAACACAUGGGGAUCAUGACUUUAACAUGGGAAUACAUUUUACACAUGAUGAGAUAGCAUGAUCACACAACAAAAUCAUAAACUGAGGAUUUAUUCUGAAUUUGCAUAAACAUGAUAUGAGAACCACAAUAUUUUAAUCAUACAAUAAUCCAUUCCACUUGAAAUCAAUUAUAAACUUAACUUGAAAUUUAAAUAGCAAGAAAUUCAUUAAAAGCAUGAGAGUGAAUGAAACAUGCUGGAAUAGCGUAAUUACAAUACUAAAAUCAUACUUAGGAAUUUAACUAUAAAAUUUCCAUCAAUCAAACGUAGAAGGGAAACUUCCAUCGAAAUACACUUGUAAACAUGAUGUAUAAUCUAAAUUCAUAAAAACCUCAUAGAGAUGAUUCAUUGUUAAAAUGUAAUUUCAAAAAUUAAAAUAUAAAAAUAAAUUUUUGGACUCCAUGGGUGGAAAGGGUCCAUGGAUGAACAUCACACAUACCUUUAAUACUUAAAUCUUGAAAGAGAACAACUUUCUUGAAAGCUUCCUUGGAUUGGAACACUGGAGUUCUUGAUUUUCUUGAAAGGAAAGAAGAGAAUUGAUGAACUUGGGGGAUGAUUAGGGUUUGUUUUUGAGAGAAAAUUGGAGAAUAUGAGCAUAUAAUACCCUAACUGAAGCCUUAAGUCAUGUUUUUAUGAAUUUGGUUGUGGUGAGAAAAGACCCAAUUGCCCCUCACUCAUUUAGACCAAAAAUUCGUAACUGAAAUGUGAAUGAAAGACUCAUCGCGACGUGGUCUUAUCGCAGUGGCUUACUACUUCUGACAAAAAUGAUUAUUACUUUUUGCUCGGGUAUUGUAUUAAGGCAAAAUUGGUAUUGUUGAAAAGCUAAUUCAAUUAUCUACAGUUUAGUGGGUCUUCAGCUGAAAAAUUCUACGUUUAUCAAAAGUUAUACACGUUCAAAAUGGAUCCUUGUAGAAUCAAAUACCAAACUUUGGGCGAAUCAAAGGAUUUUAGCUCAACUUUAUUCUAAGUGAUUUCAAUGAACAUUCCUCACCUCAUAAGCACUUCACACACUAGAAUAAAGAUCAUGACACAUGCAUUCAAUUAUGAAUCAAGAACUGGACGAAAACACGUUCUCUGCGAUGCGAUAAGGGCCUCAUCGCUACACCACCGUGAUGCGCCACAAUCGCAGUAAGGUUCUGGAAUCAAAAUCCAAAAGUCCCCCAAUUCUUAUCCGAAAAAUUCAAAACUUCCACGAUACGUGCUCUUUACACCCCUGAACAUAAAAUAACUUAAAAACUCACAUCUCGGGGUCAGGAAGGUCACUUUAAAAAUCAACGAAGUUAAGAGGCCAAAAAUAAAACUAAGUCCCCAACACUUAGCUAAAUUUUUAGGUUUUCAGCCUCAUAUGCAUGCACUAUGAGCAGAACUGAGAUAGAAAAAGUACGGGGUAUUACACUAACUCUUUCUUUCUCCUUUAUAUAUAAUUCAUUGCAAUUAUUUGUUUGAAUGAAUAUAACCUUAAUUAAUUAAUCUGAAUGAAUCAUCAUCAAGCUGCUAUUUAAUUUUGUUUUCAACUUGUAUUUUUUCUCAAACUGUGUAUCAUUAUUUUUACAAGUAUAAUAAUUUAAAGUUGGCAAAACGAGCUCUUGUACUUCUCCUUGGAAUAAAUCUUUGAGAUGAGUUAAUAUUUGAAAACUCUACUAGAAUGACAUUCACUUUUGUUCAUGUGGCUAAUAGUUCAUUUGAGUUGAUGCAACUUCCUUUUAAAAAUUAACUUUCCUCAAGAAAUCAAACAUGUUUUCUAUUAAUUAGUUGAGUAUUCAUUUUGAUCUAGUAUCUAUUUGAAAAAUCUUACUUCUUCAAAAAAGAAACUAGCAACUAAUUUGAUUCUAUUAUUUGAAGAAAAUCACUUCAAGUUAAAUGGAUUUUCUUCAUGAAUAGUGUAGAUGCUAUUUUUUAUGAAAUGUUUUGGAUAAUUUCAAAACUUAAGAAUUUAGAAUUUUUUUAACAAAGUCAGUCAAUUGUCUUUUAGUCAACUAUUUUUAUAAACGUUCUUGAGUUCCUUAAAAAUCACCUCAAGAUGUUACCAGAAACCUUACCCAUUUUCUCUCACUUUAAGUGUUUGUUUCUAUUUUCAAUUUUUUAAAAUUCUUUUAAAGUUUGCUUAGUAUUUUUUGUAAUAAUCAAGUAGCGACCUUGUCUUUUCUUAAAUUGUUUUGAAAUUUUCUUUAAGUUUUGAAAUAGUUAAAUAAGACAAAAACCAUUUUCUUUUUAAAUGAAAUUUCAAAAAGAAAUAAAACAAUAAGGUUGAAUGGACUUAAAUAAAAUAUCCUAUAUAUAUAUAUAUAGAGAGAGAGAGAGAGACAACCAUAACACAAAUAGAUGAAAAAACAAAAAAUAAAUUCAUAUAUAGAAAAUGUUAUUAAAAGAGAAGAAAACAAAAUAAUAAUAAAAAGAACAAAUUAGCAUGCUCAACAUAAUUAAAGAUGCCCGUCAUUCUCUUCUCCAUCAUUGUAGUCAUUCGAAUCAAUUUCAGUUUCAACAUUUUCAUUAAGUUGUUUAGCCCUUUUGUUCAGCUGGGCCCUCUUAACAGCAAAUAGAUUGAUCAACGCUCUAAUUUCUCUAACCUCAAGUUCAUCAAAUCUUUUUCUUGCCUCAACAAGUUGGUUUAAAUUGUACUCUGUUUCCUUCUUCUCAACUAUUUUCUCAAGUUGAUUAAUUUUACCUUCCUUAGUAUUCAGUACCGACUGAAGGAAGUCUUCAUGUUUGACUAUCUUAAUUGGGCGUUGCUUAUCAAAGGAAGCUAGAUAGUUCUUCACCCUAUCCGUAGCUUGGGUUAGAGAUGGCCAAGCAAAAAUAUUUUGAUCUCCAGGAGUAAAAAAGAACAUACCAAUUUCGAUGUCACAUAAAAUUUCUAAAUGUUUUGCUUUCUUAUAUAGUGAUUCUAAUCUUUUAUCCAGUAGAACUUUUUUCUUUCUCGGAUCGACAAUCCUACUAGGCCUAACCCCUAUUUUUGUCAUAGUUAGAUAUGCAAGAAUUAAAGAAUAUAAUAUCUGAGUGAUAAUCACUCUCUGAAUAUAAGAUAAUAGUGUUUCGCUAAUACAUAUAUAUAGAUCUAUGGUAGGACUACAUACCUAAAUGCUUAAAAGUGAGUUCACAUAAUUUGGCCAAAUUUAGGAAAAACCUAACUAUACGAUCCGAAUUUUAAGGUAUUUAUUUAUUAUUUUCUUAGAUGUAGUUACAAUCCUAAAAAUCAAUCUUGAACUUGGAGAUUAAAUAAUGUUAUUUCCAUAAUAGCUAUCCGAGAUGAUCGGAUGCAUUUUGGGAAGUUUUUCAUUUUUGAAAAUUAGAAAUUUGGAUGAAAGUCAACAUAUUGAUUGACGAGGCUGGAAGUCACAAUACAAAAUCUCAAGUCAUUUUAGUACCUACUAUAACCCACUAGUAGGUAAGUCAAUAUCAUAAUUUGGAACAACAAGUAAUGGGCUAACAGGUGAAGGACGGAAGAACAAGGUAAAAACAGUAAAUAAAACGACUAGUAGAAAAAGUAUAUGAAGCAUGCACACAAAUAGGUGGGGAAAGAACAAAAUAUACAAAAUGAAUCCCCAAGACCUAGUAUAAUAACUAAAAGAACCAUUAAGAAUAAGGAGUACUAGACAAGUGCAAUACAUACAUAAUAGUCUCCAUAAGGUGCAAAAUAAGACUAAUUCCACAAUAGAGGGAGAUAGGUCAAAUCCAGAUGCUAAAAUCUCACCCUAAUCUUUGAUCAACAACUCUACAUGAGGGUGACGUCAACAAUGGUAACUCGUACUAGGAUCUGCAUUAGGGAAAAAGAUGCAGAAGUGUAGCAUGAGUACCACAACAAUAUGUGGUACUCAGUAAGCAUCACAGGACGAUAGAGCUCAACUAAGGCAAAAGCAUUAUAAAGUGUGACUAUACACUAAAAGUAAGAUAAGAGGGGUCACAAAGAGAAUAAUAGGCUAAAUCUAGACAGUUAUGAGAAUCAUAAGUAAAUAACUCUAAUAGUUAUAUAUGAAUAAUAUAUAAUUCUCCUCCUAAAUUAUCACUAUUCGAACUAGGGCCUGACCAUAAUGGGUAUCUCAACUCCAACAAGGAUCGGAGACCACCCCCUUUGCCUAGUUAAACAGAAUACAAUUCAAGUAUAGUAGUGGAAUUUCAAACAUAUCACAAGAUAGAUAAUUAUGACUCAAAAGAAGUCUUAAGAAUUCAAAAAUCAAUCCUAAGUCCACAGUAAUCCACAAAGCUUCUAAACAGAAUCAAAUCAAUAUAAGUUGGUAUAUGCCCUCGAUGAUAGCCAAAACUAGACCAAAGAAAAGUAUAUGACAUAAGGGAACCAAAUAAUGAAAUGAAGUCUUCCUAAGCAUGGAAGCUCACCACUUCAAUCUGACUCAUGAGCUAUCCCACGAUCACUUAGUCACUACACAGGAAAAGAAAAAGUUUUUUCGAUUUCUGCAUCAUGUGGGGAUACACCAUCCAAAUAUGGUUAAUGGCAUGAGCCCUAGCAUGUAACUCAGAGAAUAGUGAUAUAAUAAUGUCAUGAUUAAUAAUUUUAUAAUCAGUCCAAAAUCCAAAUGUACACAAGCAUAUGCAUAUACAUAUAAAUAUAUAACCAGUUGGGGUAGAAAAUAAGGCUUAGUAUGAAAGUAGAAUAUUAUCUUGGACGAUAUAGAUCAAAAGUAAUAAACAGGUACCCAUGGACUAUAUGGAUUCAGCUCCCUGCUGAAGGUCCCUAGUGCAUGUUAGCCGCACGAACCGGAGGUAACAAGGAAGAUCAGGGAAUGCCCCAAUCUUACGUCAACCUAAGAUACAAAUAUGUAUGAAUAGUGUGAACCAUACACACAGGUUAUCAAGACCAAACCUCACUUCGGCGAACAUGAGUUUCAUAAGUCAUCCAAGACCCAUACCAUCACGACUUAGCUACAUAACCCCUAUCAGGCCCAAUUUAAAAUAAGUUUCACAUAACCCAUUCAUUACCCAAGGAAUUUACCAUUAAUGGCACACUACUGGUAUCGACAUACUGUAUGCUUGCAAGCUCAUAAUUAUGACAUUACAAUUCUAUUAAUUUGGGGGAAUGCCUCGACCCUAUUUUGUUCAUUAAAUCAAGUUGGAAGAAUGCCUGGACCUCCUUUAGUUUAUCAAACUAAAUUAGACGAAUGCCUCGACCUCCUUUAUUCAAGUUUGAAACCAAAACAUGACCAACAAGGCCUUUAAAAUUCAUGUUUAAAAAUUUAAUUAUUCAUGCAAUGCGAUAGUAUAGGUCAGUAAGUCAAACCAAGUGAAAAAUCAUAUUUCAAAAUCAAUUUCACAAGUGGGUUGAUGGAACACAAUCACCCAGGACCAAUUUCAAGUUCAAAAACAUCAAUUUGGGGGAAUACCUCGACUCCGACCGACUGAAUCAUCAAUUGAGGUGUCAUACAUACUAUCUCUAACUGAAGAUGCCUCAACAUCACGAGUUGAUCUAAAUGAGCUGUAUGACUGAAAAUCCCAUGUAGAGAUACUCUCUAGACUAGUAAUCGGUCUCUCUACAGUUGAAGCAAACUUCUGACACACCAACAUGGCGAGUAACAAACUGAUCCCAAAUUUUGCGUUUUCUAACACUAUUAGAGUCCAAAUAUCAAAUUCAAGCUAAAUCUGAGUAAUGUUGAGUCUUAUACUAUCAUUGAAAGUUUGGGUCUGAAAAAGUUUAAAGUGGGUUGAAAGAUUUGAAGUCUUGGGUGAGGAAUUUGAGCAAAAUAAUGUGUGGAAUGAGUUUAGAAUGAUGAAAGGUGCAUAGGAUCGAAUUUUUAACUCAUUCCGAGCUAAGAUGUUCUUGGUGUGUUCUUGAGAAGAUUGUUAUCUUCGUAUUGAAGUUCAUCAAAAGUAAGUGUUUGGUCCAAAAAUAAGGAAGAGAAAAAGUGAAAAAGUAUUGUACUAACGCAUUUAUUAGUUAUACAUAGAUAAAAAGACAUACCAAACAAGGUACUAGUAGUAUACAUUAAUUAAUGCAUGCAUUAUAUUUUACAAUAUAUUCUACCAAACGACCCCUUAGUAAGUAAUUAAUUAACCUUCUAAAAAGAGUAACAAUCAAAUUUGACUCUUGAUAUUAUGUCUAAAUCUUUAAAGUAAGUGUCCAAAUUAAGAUUUUAAUAGAGUUACUUAUCAAUUUUUAGGAUAUCAAAUUCAACUACUGGUAUUAUGUUAAGUAUUUAAACAUUUAUAUUUUUAAAAUUUUGGUCGAAGGUAGACUAUUUGUUGUAAUUUAUGGAUUUUGACAUAUAUAUUUAUAUUACCAAUUAAAAAUACUAGGUGCAGAUGAACACUGUGUUACGACAUUGCACAUAUCCUUAGUAGUUGUUAUUAAUAUUUUUUUAAAAUGGAAAAGGGUCAAAAUUAUUCAUGAAUUAUUUAAAAUGGAUCAAAAAUAUUGCUCGUUAGCUUUUUGGCUAAAAUACCCCUCUGUUAAAUAUUUGGCUCAAAAAUGCCCCUCACUCUAACAGAAGUCCACCAAGGACGCCACCUAGAUUAAAAAAAAGUCACGUAGUCAUGCCACGUCACCAUCUACGUGUAAAAUUUUAUUUUUAAUUACACAAUUUAAUUUAUUAUCCGAUCCAACCCAUAAUAAAAAAGACCCAAACUGAAGUGAAAUGACAAAGGGUAAAAGAAUCAGGUCUUUCUCUUUCCGUUAAUCGUUCUUUGUCAAGACCAACUCAUCUCCUUUUGCAUUAUCCAGCAAUGCCUCUUCGUCACAUCUGCACAACCAUUUAGAGAAUCCUAAGCCAAACUUUCUUACUGAUAAUGGUGUAUCAAUUUGGCAAACAAUCCAGACUUUCUUUUCAGUCUUUUAAUGAUAUUGUCAGUUUUUCAUUAAAUUAAUCUAUUCUGUUGCUUGGCUAGCACCUUCUAAUUCUACUGUUGCACUCUAGAUGGUAAGUUUAUCUUUCUUAUAUAAAAAAAUAUUGUUAUCUUCAUGUGGAUAGUUGUUCUGUUUUAGAGAUUAUUCAUGUGUGUAAUGUGGCUUUCGUUUGAUUCACUCUUACUUUGUCAAAGGAAGUUUCUACCAAAUACUUGUGGAAGAUUAUUUUUUGGACUGUUCAAACAAGAUUGCUACUUGUUCAAACAAGUUGCUACUUGUUCAAACAAGUUGCUUCUUGUUCAAACAAAGUUGCUACUUGUCUCCAUUUUCAUCUCUAUAAAUAGAUGCCUUCUUUCUCAAUUGUAAUACACAUCAAAUUACAAGAGUUUUCUUUCAUUCUCUUGUAUUUAUUCUUCCUUCCUAUUAGAGUAUUAAGUUAAGAGAGUUGGCGUUGGGAAUACUUUGUGUGAGCCCUUCCUUUUGGAGUGAUCUUGUGAGGUUUUCUCUUGGGAUAUUUGGGUUAAUUAGAGUGACUACUCUAAUUUUGUAAUCUCUCUAUUGUACUUUUGUUGAUAUAGUGAAGUUAUUCCUCUCCGCUCGUGGACGUAGGUCACACUGACCAAACCACGUUAAAUUUGUGCCUCUUUUAUUUUUUCUUUAAGUACCGUUACUAUCAACUUGUUAUUUUCAUUAUAACAUUAUUUGGCUAAAUUCCGCAAUAAUCGGGUUCUCAAUCCUAACAAAUUGGUAUCAGAGCUGAAUCUAACCAGGUUAUUUUUCAGUAGCCAAAAUGACUAUAACAAAGACUUACGUUGAGAAAUUUGAUCGAAGUGCAAACUUCGGGAUGUGGCAAUCAAAGAUGGAAGGUAUCUUAAUUCAGGAUGGCUUAGAUAUGGCACUAGAAGGAAAGGAGAAGAAGCCGGAAAAAAUGAGGACGAAGAAUUUGCCGUCAUAGACAAAAAGGCAAAAUCAGGUAUUAUUCUAAAUCUCUAAAAUGAGGUUUUACGUGAAGUAUCUGCAGAAACCACAGCGAAAGGCAUGUGGAAAAAACUAAAAGCCUUGUAUAUGAAGAGGACAGUGGAAAAUCGACUUUACCUGAAGCAAAAGCUUUACACAUUUCGUAUGGUAGAAGGUACCUCUAUACUCUCACAUCUUGAUGAUUUUGAUUCUAUUCUUAUGGAUUUGAGUAAUAUAGACGCCGAAGUUAAUGAUGAAAAUCAAGCCGUCUUAUUACUUAUUUCCUUACCCCAAUCAUGUAAGCAUAUUAGAGAUACUAUGCUUUAUGGAAAGGAUAAUAUCUCUUACAAAGAAAUCAAAUCUAUGUUAAAAACAAAGGAACAGAUAGAUAGAGAUAUUACUGGGGAAAGUAGCGCAGCCCAUGGGGAAGGAUUAUUUAUAAGAGGUAGNNNNNNNNNNNNNNNNNNNNNAUUUUGGAUUCGGGUUGUUCUUAUCAUAUGUGUCCCAAUAGGGAUUUGUUUAACACAUUCUAAUCUGUUGGAGGUGGAGUUGUCUUGAUGGGAAACAAUACUCCCUGCAAGGUUUUUGGUAAAGUUACAGUCCGAAUUAGAAUGCAUGAUGGUGUGGUGAGAACUCUCACGGAUGUUAGAUAUGUUCCCGACUUGAAGAAAAAUCUCAUUUCAUUGGGCACUCUAGAAUUUCUUGGGUGUAAAUACACAGGUGAAGGUGGAGUUUUGAAAGUAUCUUCAGGAGCUCUUGUGAUCAUGAAAGCACACAGAUCAGGUACGUUGGACACUUUAUUGGGAUCCACUGUUAUAGGUGCUGCUGCAUUUUCCACUUUAAAUCAACUUGAUCCCAACAUCACCAAAUUGUGGCAUAUGCGAUUGGGGCAUAUAAGUGAAAAAAGUCUUUCCAUCCUCAGCAAAAGAGGUCUACUGUGUAGACAAAGUAUUGAAAAAAUAGAGUUCUGUGAACACUGUGUGUUUGGAAAGCAGAAAAGAGUCAGCUUCAAAUCUCCAACAGUUCAUCGAACAAAAAGUACUUUGGACUACAUUCAUUCAGAUCUUUGGGGUCCUUCCCGUACCCUAUCAAAAGGUGGUGCCAGGUAUAUGUUAACUUUCAUUGAUGAUUAUUCAAGGAAGGUUUGGGUUUAUUUUCUGAAAAACAAAAGUGAUGUUUUCUUAAAUUUCAAACAAUGGAAAGUUUUGAUUGAAAAGCAAACAGGAAAACAGGUCAAGCGGCUUAGAACAAAUAAUGGCUUGAAAUUUUGUAACGACGAGUUCAAAGAAUUUUGCAAAAAUGAAGAAAUUGCUCGAUAUCGUACUGUGAGGAUGACACCUCAACAAAAUGGUGUUGCAGAAAGGAUGAACAGGACUCUUUUGGAAAAAGCCCGUUGUAUGAUUUCAAAUGGUGGGUUGACAAAUGCUUUUUGAGCUGAGGCUAUCUCUACAGCUUGUUAUAUUAUUAACCGUGCUCCUUCUGCACCUUUGAACUUCAAGACUCCGGAGAAAAUAUGGUCAGGUACACCUGCUAAUUAUUCUGACUUAAAAGUUUUUGGUUGUCCUGCUUACAUGCAUGUAAAUGAUGGAAAAUUAGAGCUAAGGGCUAAAAAAUGUAUUUUCCUUGGUUAUGCAUCUGGGGUGAAAGGAUACAGACUUUGGUGCCCUGAUCCCAAGUCACCAAAAUUUAUAAUUAGCAUAGAUGAAACUUUUGAUGAAUCCUCCAUGUUACAUUCUAGAAAAGAGUCUUCUAGCUCUUGUACCAAGAACAAAGAGCAUGAUGUGUAUGAACAAGUGGAGGUUGAGCUUGGCAUACCUUCUGAGCCAAGCUCAUCAUCAACUGUGGAACAAAAUAUAGUUGAAAAUCCAGAAGUUGAGCCAGAAGUUGUGACUUCUGAAGUUGAACCAAAUGAGUAUUCCAUAGCAACACAUAGACCAAGAAGACAAAUUCUCAGACUAGAAAGGUAUGAAGAUUAUGUUGCAUUUGCUUUUUCAAUUGCAUAGGAAACUGAAGAAAUCGAAGAACCAUCAAAUUAUUCAGAAGCAUUUUCUGGUGCUGAUUCAGCCAAGUGGCUGAUUGCAAUGAAUGAAGAAAUUGAAUCUCUUCAUAAGAAUAGUACUUGGUCUUUUGUGAAGCCACCGUCAGGAAGUAGAAUCAUUGGUUGCAAAUAGGUCUUCAAGAAAAAAGAUGGAAUUCCAGGGGUUGAAGAUGCAAGGUAUAAGGCACGAUUAGUUGCAAAGGGCUAUAGUCAGGUGCAAGGAGUUGAUUUUAAUGAUAUUUUCUCACCUGUUAUUAAACAUAGCUCUAUUUGUGUCUUGCUUGCCUUAGUUACCAUGCAUGAUUUGGAAUUAGAACAGCCUGAUGUUAAGACAGCUUUCUUACAUGGCUAACUUAAGGAACAAAUACAUAUGUAUCAACCUGAAGGAUUUAAAAUUGAAGGAAAGGAAGAUCAUGUUUGCUUGUUAAAGAAAUCCCUGUACGGAUUAAAAUAAUAUCCAAGACAGUGGUACAAGAGGUUUGAUUCCUUUAUGUUGGGUCAUGGUUAUUCAAGAAGCAUGUAUGAUAGUUGUGUUUACUUUCAAAAGUUAAAUGAUGGUUCAUUCAUUUACUUACUAUUAUAUGUUGAUGACAUGCUUAUUGCUGCUAAGGAUUUGACAGAAAUUCACAAUUUGAAAAGUCAGCUGAAAAGUGAAUUUGAAAUGAAAGAAUUGGGAGCAGCUAAGAAAAUCCUUAGCAUGGAGAUCAGAAGAGAUUGAGAAGCCCGCAGGUUAUUUUUGACCCAGAAGAAGUACUUGGAGAAGGUUUGGCAUGAAAGAAGCUAAACCAAUAAGUACUCCUCUUGCUGCUCAUUUUAAGUUAUUAGCUGUUCAAUCACCGUAGUCAGAGGAAGAAGAAAGUUAUAUGGCACAGGUACUGUAUUCUAGUGCAGUUGGCAGUAUUAUGUACACAAUGGUAUGUACACGUCCGGAUAUUUCACAUGCAGUAAGUGUGGUAAGUCGAUAUAUGGCUUAUCCUGGAAAAGCACAUUGGCAGGCGGUGAAAUGGAUUCUCAGAUACUUGCGUCGUACCUCAAAUAUAUGUUUGGAAUUUGGUAGAAAUACUAACACUUUAGUUGGUUUUGUAGACUCAGAUUAUGCAGGUGAUCUUGAUAAAAGAAGAUCACUGACUGGCUACAUGUUUUGCAUUGGUAGUUGUGCUAUCAGUUGGAAAGCUACAUUACAACACGUAGUAGCUUUAUCUACUACUGAAGCAGAAUAUAUGGUAGUGACCGAGGCUAUCAAAGAAGCCUUAUGGUUCAAGGAUCUAUUUGCUGAACUCAGUCCACACCAAGGUGAUAUUAUUAUUUUCUGUGAUAGUCAAAGUGCCAUCCACUUGACUAAAUAUCAAAUGUAUCAUGAGAGGACGAAGCAUAUUGAUAUCAAGUAUCAUUUUAUUUGGGAAUCUAUUAUUAAAGGAAAGGUCUCUGUUCAGAAGAUCAACACUAGAGACAAUCCUGCAAACAUGUUCACAAAGUCUCUUCCGGUCAGUAAGUUCAAGCUUUGCUUGAGCUUGAUUGCCGUUUGUGAAGAAUGAUUUUUCCCACACGGGCUUUUGCGGAGAGGAAGCAAAUUUACUAUAUUAACCAAACUCAGGCCAAGGUGGAGAUUUGUAAUGUGGCCUUUGUUUGAUUCACUCUUGCUUUGUCAAAGGAAGUUUCUACCAAAUACUUGUGGGAGAUUAUUUUUUGGACUGUUCAAACAAGGUUGCUACUUGUUCAAACAAGUUGCUACUUGUUCAAAUAAGGCUGCUACUUGUUCAAACAAGUUGCUUCUUGUUCAAACAAAGUUGCUACUUGUCUCCAUUUUCAUCUCUAUAAAUAGAGGCCUUCUUUCUCAAUUGUAAUACACAUCAAAUUACAAGAGUUCUCUUUCAUUCUCUUGUAUUUAUUCUUCCUUCCUAUUAGAGUAUUAAGUUAAGAGAGUUGGUGUUGGGAAAUACUUUGUGUGAGCCUUUUCUUUUGGAGUGAUCUUGUGAGGUUUUCUCUUGGGAUAUUUGGGUUAAUUAGAGUGACUACUCUAAUUUUGUAAUCUCUCUAUUGUACUCUUGUUGAUAUAGUGAAGUUGUUCCUCUCUGCUCGUGGACGUAGGUCACACUGAUCGAACCAGGUUAAAUUUAUACCUCCUUUAUUUUUUAUUUAAGUACCGUUACUAUCAACUUGUUAUUGUCAUUAUAACAUUAUUUGGCUAAAUUCCGCAAUAAUCGGGUUCUCGAUCCUAACAAUGUGGAUAGCUGUUCUGUUUUAGAGAUUAAUUAUAUGUUCUGGAUAAUGGCCACACAACAAACAUCAACGGAGUUUGGCUCUACACACAAGAAAAUUGAUACUAUAUGUUUUCCAUUUAUGUAAAGGAUCGGAUAUUUUGGUUAUUGGGUUGGGUCGAGUUUAUUUAUUUGAUGAAUUUUAAAAAGAAAUUAUACACGUGGACGCUGAUGUGGAAUGUAUAGUUGGCUGGCACCGCUCUUGCAUCCAGUGGACCACUCCAAGUUGAAGCCCCAUGCAUGGAUCAACUGGCUCUAAUACCAAUGUUAUAGACCAAACAGGAGAGCACAAUUCAAAAGACUAGUAUGAUGGGUGGGGCUUUUAGUGUAGAAACCCAUUAGCAUUUCUGUGGGGCAACUGGCACAUAGCACUAGUGUAAUGCAGCAAUACAGUAAAAUUUGCCUUUUUUUUUUUUUUAAUCUUUUCCAAGAUUAAAUUGGGGAAGUUGAUUCCCCUCUCAACUUGGGCUGUAAAUUAGAUGCGUCCAUGUAAUAUCCUUAUACGUCAUACCAUUAUGGAUUUAUGGUAUUUCAUGAGUUGCCGGUUAAUAGUGUAGACAUUUAACUCAGCGUGGUAGACUUCCUCCAUAUAUAUUGGUGAAAACAUGUGUGUUCAGAUUAGUAUGUGCAUACAAUGAACUGUUCAAACGAUACUUUUGCUUUACGUACGCACUUACCAUCAAAUAGUAUGAAUGUAUGUAACGAAAGUACUCUACAUGACAUCUUGCUCUAUACUAUAAAUUGCUCGAUCAGUUUUAUCCUCAGUUCGUUAAAAAUCAUCUUAUUUUUGCCCUCUUUUCAUUAACGAAGCUCCAACAUACGAGAGUGAAUUUCGGGUGUCAAAAUGAUAUCAAUGAAAAAGAUCUAAAUAUAUUCUCUAGUAUUGACUAUAUGCUUUAAAUUGCAGUUUUCUUCAGCCGCGGUCAAGGGAUACGUAGAAACAAGCCUUUCUCUUAACAUAGUAAAGACUAGACUAGACCAUACUUUUGGAUCCUUUUCCAUUUAAAAAAUUAUAUAAAAAAAGGUUAAAUUAACUUGCGCACACCUCUGAACAUUUUAGUUGUAUACCUACAACUUAAUUCUCUUAAUAGUUAAAAAGAAAUAUCUCUUUACUUUUUCAUAUUCUAACUUUUUUUUUUUUUGACAAAAUUAUGAUUCUCACUAAGGAUUAUGCUUGUAUGAUGACAGUUUGUGUAGUAGAAGAAAAAUGUACACGUUCUAAUUAUUACAAUCGCGUAUGCAGUGAAAUAUCUCCAUUUUGCUAAUGAAGUAUGCGAAGCUUUGUGCAUUAAACGAUUUGGAAAAAUUUGUGAAGCAAAAUGUGUACCUUUUUGUAUGUCCCUAAAAAUAAGGAUUGUAUUUGGUUAUUUCUCUGGAAAUAAUUAAUUUCCUACCUUUUAAUAAUUUCAAUUAUUAUAUUGAAAAGUAAAGUUUUAUCCUCUUCGUCUUAAUUGAUGUCUUGUUUCUUUUUAUUUAUUAUUAAUGUUACGUUAAAUUUGUGCUUAUUUCAAUCAACAGAGAUAUUUUUUAAGUGUGUUUAUGAAUAAAGAGUUGCUUCACUACAACUAAUAUAAUAUCAUCAUAUUGGUACCAUUCUAAAAGUGAAAACCAACAAAAGUGAGAAAGUUAAAUAAUUAAGAUAUCUAUUAAAAGUUGAACGACUUUUUUUUUUUAAGCUAAAUUAGUUAUCGUAAGGUUUGGACAAGUAAUUUCAACUGAUUGCGUUUUUAUUUUGGAGACAAUUUUUUUGUUGAAAAUUAUUAAUGAAAGAGAAUAUUUUAAUGAUUGGACAGUGCUCAAUUCAAACAUGUGAGCAUGAUCGUAUCUUAAUAUUUUCCGGUAGACAAUAUUCUUGGUGUGUGUUCUAUAUUUUAUAUUUUGAUUACUUUGGCAUAUCCAAAUUUUAUUAGAAAGAUUAUAAUGCCAAAGCUAAGGCUAAAUAUGAAAUGAUCAAUCUAAUACAUAUUCCACAAACAAGUUAAAUACAAGAAAAUUGUGUUAACACCACAAAAGAGAUUGUCUGCUAGCAGACUAAACCGAGAAGAAUAAGAUCAAGGAUAUCAAAUUAUCCUCAUUUAUAUGUACUAAAUCCGUAAUGAGUAGAAAUUUCACUCACGGCCUAAACAACGAGCAAACAUUCGAACAUGAGAGCAAGGGAUCACCCAUGGACGAGUUAAGAGGAGGAAGGGAGGCAAAAAUCAUGUUUUUAGAGAUCUAAUUCAUUCCGAUUCGAAUCUUAUCUGAAUUGCGAGAAUAAUUUACUAAGUCGUGCUAUAAGGGGUGAUUCUCCAAAUGGAACGGGGCCAAUCCUAUAAUUAGGUUGUUCAAGCUAAGUAGGUUGGGUGACAGAUCGGUUGUAGGAACCUAGGCAAUGAAAAAAGGAUCCGUUACUUCAACUAGAGGAGUGAUCAGUCGGUUUACUAAACACAUAAAAAGCUAAAAUUGAAAAAAGAUAAAUGAGGUUUUAGAAGAUCCAAAUGUACCCAACAUAUCCUUAGCUAAAAGGUGUUGCUCGAAGGGAGAAAAUGUUGGAAAAAUCAUGUAAUAUAAAAAUAAGUAUUACAAAAGGUCCUUAAUAAUUAACAAUCGAUCAUGAUAUUGCCCUAACUUGAUUAUUUGUAACUCCUACUUUAUCCAACAUAAAUAAAAGAUGAUGAAAGUAAUUAGUUCACGAAUACAUACGUGUAUAAGAAUUUGAUAAGUUUUUUUUUUUCAGUGAAAAAUGUAACGAUUUUGAAUGUAUGCAAGUGCUCUCAAUAUUUUAAGAUAAGUUUUAAAAUGUUAUAUUAUUCAAUUAAUUUAUUUAAUGGACGGUAUUUAAUUUUCUUUUGUAAUAGUUUUCAUUUAUUAGAAGGUAAUUUUACUUCUUUUGUUUUUUGUUCAAAAUUAUUAAUAAGAAUAAUGUUUAAGUGAAGAGUAAAAUAGUCUCGUUCUGAACAUAAUUAAGUGAAGGGUAAAAUAAGUUUAAAACAUUCACAUAUUUUAAAGGGAAAAUUUCAGAAAUAGCAACUAUAGAGUCUUAAUUGUAAGUUUUACGGCAAUCGUUUCAAAAUUACAAAAAAUAGCAGUAUGUAUUUUGUAUUUGAGUAAACUAUUACUAGUUAAAUACAUAUACAAUUAAAGAUUGUGUUCCUUAUAUAUCUCCAAUCUAUUUCAGUUUAAUAUGGUAAAAAAUGGUUCCUUAAAUCAAGGAACAUUUAAUUUGACAGAUUUCUUAACCUUUUAAAACUCUAUUGUUACCACAAAAGUUAAAUUACAUCUUCAAAUUCAAAUUCAAAAAUGGUUUCCAUAAUCAGCUUUUCAAUUCAAAUUCAAAAUACUCAUUCAAAUUGAAAAAUAUUUUUCUUCAAUUUUUUUUGUAAUGCUGAUCGAAUAACGUUUUGAAGAAAAUAGUAAAAAUAUGAAGGUGCAAAUACAGGUAUUUAUCAACAACUUAAUUUUUAGUUGUCAUUUAAGAAAAAUAUAAUGUGAAAUUUGCCGAAGAAAUACUUGUAUUUUUGAAGCAGUUGUAGGUUUGAAAAAAUUUUAAAUCGUAUAUUAAUUUUAGUCGUACUUGGUGUUAUAGUACUUAUUUCAUAUUUAUUAAUAUUUUUAUUGUUUUGAAAUUUCUGGAAAUUGAUAAUGGGAAGUAUAACUGUUCUUAUUAAACACUUUGGUAGAUGGACAUAUGAAGAACAAUAUGAAGAUUACACCAGUGAUGCGAUAUUUGAGCAUAAACUCUACGUAUGACCAACUUUACACAGUACUGGCUACUCAUUGAUGUUGAUUUGACGUACAAGUGUAUUCAAAUCGAGUAUCAAUUAAUAGAUAGUGCAGGGCAAAUACGUAUACGUAAUGACAUGGGUUUGAAGGUCUAUAUUAUGCAGAAAAAGGAAUUGAAGGAUAUUGGUAUUUUUCCUUUGUAUGUAAGUGUUUCUGACAAAGAAAAUUUCAGCACAUUGGUAUGUUCAUCGUUGUGUACUGGCGAACCUAUAAAGAUGUUUGUCACUAAUAGUUAACCUAUAAAGAUGUUUGUCACUGAUAGUAACUUGGUAAAUACAAGUAAUGAAAGAGCGUUAAUUGUUCCUGCUUCAAAUCAAUGUUUGGAUGCAUUUGAAAUGGAUACAACUAGAGUUAUUAACUUAGACCCAAAUCAUAAACAUACUGAGGUUGAUCAAGUUUAUAUCUCAAAAAGUAUAUUAAAAUGGUAAUGAAAGAUUAUACAAUUCGAGAGAAGUUUGAAUCACUAUCUGCACGAUCUAGUACAACAGGGUAAGUUUAUUGUGAAUUUUAAUUUUUUUUUUUGCAAUAUGUGUUAAUUGUAUUUGAGCAUAUGUCUUUGUUUUUGUUUGCAGUUAUACAUUGUUGUGCAGAUUCAGAAAUUGUGAAUUUUUAUUCCGUGCAUCUGCUAUCGGUGAAUCUACAAUGUUUUAUGUAAGAGAAUUUUUACCUGAACAUACUUGUCCGAUCAAAGAUAAGAUUUAUCAUAAAUUGCAUAGUACUAGUAAGUUGAUUGGUGGUAUAGUCAAAGCAAAGUUAGAAUGCCACAAGAGGAAAUAUAGUCCAUCUGAUAUCAAAAGUGACAUGAAGGAAGACAUGGGUAUUGAUUUAACAUAUAUUACGUGUUGGCGAGCUAAGGAACAAGCACUUGAAGAUUUAAGAGGAAAAUCAUUAGCAUCGUACGGAAAACUACCUAUAUACAUACAUGUGUUGAACACCACUUAUCCAGGUUCACAUAUAAGAAUGAAAAAAAAUGAAGACAAUGAGUUUUUAUAUAUAUUUGUAGCACUAACUGCAUUCAUCCAAGGUUUGAUCAUUGUAGACCUGUCAUAGUAGUUGAUGCAAGUCAUCUCAAGGGACUUAUACUGACAGUUUCAUAGCAAUGUGUACCAUGGAUAGAGUUGGUAAGAUAUAUAUGAUAAGUAUUUGGCUAAAAAUUAUUUUUCAGUUGUAUGUAUUUAUAAUAUACAUAUAUGAAUUAUGUUUAUGUGAUCAGUGUCAGUUGUAUUUGAAAAUAUACAUGUGCAGUAGAGUUUUGUUUGUGCACUGAAACUUAAGUAGUUUACUUCACAAAUAUUUUCAAGUGUAUGUAUGUAUUUAUAAUAUACAUGUGCAUAAUUUACAUAUGCAAUAGUUCUAUUUGUGCACUGGAAGUUAAUUAUUUCACUUCACAUAUGUUUCCAGGUAUAUGUAUGUAUUUAUAAUAUACAUAUGCAUUAUUAUAUUUUUAAAAAAUCAUUUAAGCUUUAUUUUUUUUUCAACAUUCAUGACAUAUAUUUUCUUUGGCUUAUGGUGUACUGGACUCUGAAAAUGAUGCAUCUUGGAGGUGGUUUUUCGAGAAUCUGAAGGAAGCAUACGGUGAAAGAAAAGAUAUGUGUGUCGUUUCUGAUCGUAAUGCAAGCAUCAUAAAAGCUGUCAGUAACGUGUAUAAUGAGGUACCACAUUAUUCGUGUAUGUGACAUCUAUGGGGAAAUGUGAAUUUUUUUUUUUGAAAAUCACAUGAUGCAUUAUCAGAUGUCUUCUAUACCAUGGCAAAAUCAUAUUUGAAGACUGAAUUUCACAUAUUAAUGGAGAAAGUGGAGGUAGUUGAUGCUAGAGUGAAGAAUUACUUGGAAUUGACUGGUUACGAUAAGUGGGCUAGAUCGUAUGCAUCCGUUCAUAGAGGAUGGACUUUGACUUCAAAUAUUGUCGAGUCCAUUAAUGCUGCGCUGGUUUCAGCUAGAGAACUACCAAUAUAUGAUUUUUUGGAGGAAGUUAGAUUGAUGUUUGGAAGAUGCAACUGUGAAAAUAGAUAGCAGGCAUUGUAUACUUUUACGGAUCUUAUUGGUAAAUUUCAAGAAAUUCUUCAACAGAAUGAAGCAGAGUGUACACGUAUGGAGGUAUGAUGAAUUUUUGUAUGAAGGUACGAUGAUUUUUUUGUAAUCAUUUUAUAUAUAUAAUAGUAUUUUCAUUUUUUAUAUGAACUAUAUAUCUUUUUUAAAUAAUAAACUAAGGAAAAUAUAUUCUGUAAAACAAAUACAUAUGCAGGAAAGAAAUACAUACUUUGCUGACUUGCAAUAUACAUACAUUGAGAUGAAUUUUAUUUUACUAAUUUUUUUUAAAAAUAAUUUCAGGUUAUACCCGCAUCAGAGUACAUCUAUACAGUCCAUGACAUGGAGAAACAUUUUAUUGUUUGUCUUAAGGAAAAAAAUGUUCUUGCAAUGCAUUUCAAUUGGAUGAGAUACCGUGUGUUCAUGCUUGUGUAGUUCUUGAUAGCAAGAAUUUCAAGAAGGAACCAUAUUGCUCUGAUCUAUACAAGCCAAAAACCAUCUUGAUAACAUAUUAUCUUCCAAUUAUCCUCUACCACACAAAGAUGACUGGGUGAUUCUGAAGAAAAUUAUGGAUGAGGUAGUUCUGUCGCCGAAACAAAAGCGACCCCCUGAAAGACCUCCGAAGAAGGACCGUAGAAAAUCCGGACGAGAUAUGUUUGGAAAGAAGAGCAAAAAUUAUUAUAGUUCAUGUGGAUUAAAAGGUCACAAUAGGCGUUCAUUUAGGAAAUACAACAAACGAUAACUUGAUUGACGUAUUAAGUGAAUAAACAAUUGAUGAUUUUUUUCAUUUAUGAAAAAUAUAUGUGAUUUUCAAUUUUGAUAAAUAUUUUUUAUAUUAUUGUAGUUGUCAUUCUUAAUUUGGUGAUAUUAUAUGUAAGAUACUUUAAGCUAAACAUAAAUCUGAAAAAUACAUAUUAUACUCUUUUAAGUACGUAUGAACAUAUAGAAAAACUAAUAAUAAGUUAACUUAUUAUUCAUAAAUAUACAUAUGUGAAGGAUUGAUGAUGUGAAUUAUUCCUAAAUAAAUACGAAAAAUUAAAUAUAUAUGUAGAACAUUAAAGUUACACAUUAACAAGAAAUGAAAAAAUAUGUAGAAUAUUAAACAAACAUGAUUAUGUAGAACACAAAUAUAUAUAUGUAGAACCAAUAUUAAACUGUAACAUAACAACCAAGAACCACUAGUAUAUCUUUGAACAUUAAAAGUUACUGAUUGAAAAUAAGAAAAAUAUGUAGAACACAAAUAUAUAUGUAGAACCAAUAUUAAACUGUAACAUAACAACAAUUAAUCAAUAGUAUAUCUUUGAACAUUAAAAGUUACUGAUUGAAAAUAAGAAAUAUUCAACAACUUGUUUGUCCAACUAAUGUCAAAUAAUGUAAACUACAGCAAAAUAAAAAGAAACAUCAAAUUUUAUGAAUUUCAGUGUCUUCUGUCAAAUCAAUUUCACGAGGAGGUCUCAUUGGUGCUUCAUCAUCACUUUGUGCAUUCUCUUCUUCUUUCUUCAUAUCAUAAUUUCACAAAAUUGAAGCAUAUCUCGUACGAAUCAGAUCUGGAUCAAAAUCAACAGGUGAAACAAGAUCUCCAAAGGUGAGACACUCGGCAUAUGUCACCAUAUAUAAACCACAAUCCCUGCAAAUACAUAUAUAAAGAAAUAAGAAUCUGUUCUAUAAAAAUAAUAUAUAUGUAUAUAUACAAUUGAUAUGUAUAUGAAUACUUAGAAACUGCCACUUGAUUGUUGAGGCAAAUCCUCUACAACAUAAACAUCAAAUAGAUCCAUGUUGUCAUAGGAUUUAUAAUUUGGAUGAUUAGCAGUAUCAAUAUCCUUCUUUUCGUAAAAUUUACAAGCAACGAGACAUAUAGGUAUAACCUCAGCUAACUUUUCAUCUUUAGUAAGUACCCCAGCAUCAUGACCAGCAGAAGACAAAGAAUCAUAUACAUAAAUGCAUCUAUCAUUAAAAGAUAUAACCGCAAGAAUCCAAUGAUGAUUGGCCUUAACGUUGAUAGGAAUGAAAAUAUGAACAACCGUAUGCCAAGGCACUGUAGCAUGCAUGCGGAAUCCAUUUAUGUACUCAUUCAGAUGGUAUUCCUUUCCACCAGCAUUAAGAGAAUCAUCACCAAUUCUAUACACAGCUAGCACACUAUUUAUAAUAUUCAUGAAAUUACAGUCUACAGUGCUGUACUUGUAUGAAGUAUUCGGAUCAUACUUAGAUUUCUUUCGCAGAUAGUAGAAGCAUACAUCAAUAUGCUGCAUUAUGACAAAAAAAACAUACUUAAAAGUAAAUAAUGAAAUUAAAAAUCCUAGUAGGUAACACUACAUAUGUAUAUAUAUAUAUAUAUAUAUAUAUACAUAAUAUACAUAUAUCAGAGCAUAUAGAAUAAAAACAUAUGUAUAUACAAAUAUAAUUUUUCAACUUCAUCAUAACAAAUAAUUACAUAUGUAUUUGCGAAUAUACAUAUGUAAAAUGAAUAAAGUUUCAUUUCAAAUAUAAAAUUUUUUCACUUAUUAGCAGAACACUUACCUCAUCAGACCAUGAUUGUCCAGGAGUAUCCAUAAUGUAGAACCAAUUCUUGUUUUCCACAGCUAAAACUCUAAAAUUAAUUACUGAUAUUUUGGACUUGCCCUUCUUAUAGUGUUCUUGUUUGUUGCUUCUGUUUAGUUAUUAAACAUAAUGAUUCAUCAUUAAUAGAAACUUAUAUAUAAAUAUUAUUACAAUUAGGUGCUAAAAUAUAUACCUUUUUGCAUGAAAUUUAAGAAUAUCCACAGACAGUCACUUCAGAAACUUGUUGGUAACCUUAGUGUCUUCUAUAUCAUUAAUCGGAUGAGAUACGAAUGGAUGCUUCUGAUUGAAUAUUUUGCGCUCCCCUUCUAUACAAUGAUAUUACAUAAUAAUGAAACAGAUGUAUUUAUAUAAUACAUCUGAAAAUUACAGUAUCAAAAAUGUAUACAUAACUGUAGCAUAUCUAUAUUAUGAGUACAUCAGUUAUACAUAUUGAAGUUAUCGAAAAAUAAAACAUAAACAUGAUUCCAAGCUAACAUAAAAAUGAUGUAUUUUAAUUGUUUAGAAUUAAUCCAAUUAACAUACUUGUCAUAACCCAAAUCUAAUGAAUAACAAAAACAACAUAACAUUAAAUACAAAUCUUAGUAGUAAUCUAAACAAAUACAUAUCUAAAGUUUAUCAUGUCAAAGAAGUGUCACUAAUGUAGUGGUGCUUAUUUGCAGGUUACAUGUCAUAUUUCUUAGCCAUUAAAAAAUAACAAGAAAUUACUAUUUCUAAAAUAUAUAAAGUAAAGAAAUUUGUUAACCAUAUUUAACAUGUUAGUGUACUUACCAGAUGCUGAACCAAAAUUCAUUGUGAAUGGUGACUCUUUGAAUCUAGAUGGUCGCUUAAUCCUUGAUACAUGCAUGGGCGUUUCUUGUGCUUUGUUUACCGGUGGAUGUAUAAUUAUACUUCUUUCUUGAUUCAUAUAUGCAUUAAGACUCGAUAAAAGCUCAUCAGGAAUAGUGACUUGCGAGUCUGAAAAAUUUUGUUUAGCUUUUCUUUCUUCAGUUAACGCUACAUGAAUGUGGACCGAAACUGAUUUUGCUGAUUCAACUUUAAGUUAUCCCUAUUAAAUUCUACUGGAUUUAAAAUCUUUUCAGCAUCACAUUUAUUAUCCUGUAUAUAAUAUAUAAAUACGUUAUAAUGUUGCAACAUUAGCAAAAUAAAUAAAAGAAGAGAAUGAUACCUUUGAAUCAUCUUUUGGUGAUUUAUUUUCAUUCAUUUCAGCCUGAUAUUCUUUUGAUGUGUCUACAAUCUUUUCAGCAUCACAUUCAUUGUUCUGUAUAAAAAUGUUAUAAUGUUGCAAAGUAGCAAAAUAAUCAAAUGCAGACAAUGCUACAUUUAACUGAUCUUUUGUUGAUUUAUUUUCAUCCAUUUGUGAAGGAUAAUUUGUGUUUUGUAUAAUAAAUAUAAAAUUCUUGUUAAAGUGAUUUUAAAGCAAAAGAAAUAAACGCAGACAAUACACAUUUCCAGUAUACCUUGGACUCAUUUUCUGCUGAUGUAUUCACAGUUGUUUCUGCAGCACCUCCUGUGUUCUAUAUAAACAUAGAAAUAUUUUGUUAAUCUGAAAGCUUAUGAAAAUAAAUGAAGACAUAAAUUGUAAAUACCGUAGACUCAUCUUCAACUCCCAAAUUGGAUUUUAUGAAAUCAAGAUUAAUGCUUUUGAGCACCUCCUUUGAAAAUGAGAAUUGAGAAUCUGAUAUAUGUGCUUCGCCGAUAUUAUCAUCAACCAAUUUUGUGUUCUACAAAUCACAGUAGUACAAAUUAAAAAACAACACCAGAUGUCUUUAACUAAAAAAUAUCAUAGAUAUAUUUAGCAUACCGGUGAUUCACAUAUAUGUCUUGCUUCAUGCUGAUCAAUAUCAGUUUUAUCCUUUCAUAAAUGAUAAAGUCAAGCGUAUUAAAAUAUUAUUAUUCUACUAUAUAAAAAGCAUGAAAGAAAUAAAAUAAACUAUUUACCAGAACAUCAUCUUUAUCCUCAUUAUAUACCUCCAUCAAACUAGCGCUUUGAUUCCCGUUGAUCUCUUCAGUAACCUGUAGCACAUGUAUAAUUCUUAUAUGUAAACAUAAAUGCACAUUUUAUAAAUAAAAUACAUAUGAUUGUAAAUAAUUAACUUACCAAUGUGUCUUUAGAAUUCUUAUAAAGAUCAUGCACAAAAUUUGAACUGAAUUUAUGGUGUGGUGUAGUCUUGACAGCUUCACCCAUGGGUGGAUUGUCAACUUGAAUGUCCUUAUCUUUUUUCUACAAGUUCAAAAAAUAUUAAAAAAUAUCAAGAACAAUAUUAAACUAACUAUUUAUAAUUGCUCAGCAUAUGUAUAUAUGAUUAUACAUAUCAUGAUUUGAAAAAAUACAUAAUACAAAUGUAAAAAUACAGUAUAUAUUGCACUUGUCUUUAUUCAAACACAACUGUAUAAGCAUAAUAUGUAUUUAACACAUCAUGUGUUAUACAUACUACCAACUGUAUAUUCAUAUGUAUAUAUAAAUAUACAUAUUAGCAUUAAAAUGCAUAUUACCAAUUGUAUAUUUAUAUGUAUAUACUAUUUAAAAAAAUACAUAAUACAACUGUAUAUUCAUAUGUAUAUAUGAAUAUACAUAUUAGUAUUUAGAAAAAAAUACCUAUAAUCUAUAAAAAGAAGACACUGUUUUUUAUAUAUGUAUAUCAUAAAUCAUAAAAUACAUAUGUUGUAUAUGUAUUCAACAUUCAAAAUAUUUUUUAAAAUUAUUGUACCUUGAUCUCACUAAUAGCAUUCAUUAUCGCAUCACACCUUGUUGAUACUAGGCCACGGAUGUAUUUCAUCUCUUGAAGAACCUGCUUCAAAAUAAAUAAAUUAUAUAUGAAAACGAAGCAAUUCAAAACUUAAAAACAAAUUUCCUUAUUACGAAACUUGUGAAACACUUUCUUUGAUACAAAAUCAUCUUCAUCUUCAGAACUGCACAAAGACAAAUCAGAUGACUUAAUCAGAAUAGAUUUCUUGCUUGCUGACCGGUUUAUGUCUUUCCUCUUUGAAGAUACUUUCUCUUUUUGUUGAAUCGGCAUAAAAAUUGGAGUCCUGACAGAAAGCUUCUUUGCAGCACGAGGUGGAGAGGUCCUUUUUGGUGUCUGCUCAUCCAAACCUUUAUGUUGUUGCUUCAACUUUUUCUUGACAGGUAAAGAUGAUGAAUCAUCAUGAUGUUUUUUUCGGGUGAUUGAAUAUUUUUUUGGAUGUGGCAGAUCCUGAAAAUCAUCAUCCGAAUUAACCUCAUCAUCUUUGUGACUUACACCUGCAGGAACAACCUUCUUGGGUAUCCGAAAGCAUGAAAUCUCCUUUCGUGUUGGCUCAAUAUUCUUAAAAGAAACCUACAAUUAUAUUGCAUCCUCAUCAAAAUUUAUUUUUAGAUGGUAACACCAAUGACAGUUGGAACAUAAAUCACUUACAUUAGAAAAUAUUUAGCCUUUACAUACAUGCCUAAUCAUUGACAAAUAUAUUUUGUAUAUAAACAUAUGCAUAAACAUUAAACGCAUUUACAAAUAAUAACAUAAAGAACAAAAGAUAUAAAGGUAACUGAUCUUGACAUCUGCUUCAUUAAACAUGCUUUUCAUAAGAGAUUUGUAUCGUGGAUGGGGAGCAUUUGUUUUCCAAUUCAAAAGACGGGGAAUUUGAUUGUCCACCCUUGAAGCAACAUUACGAGGAAAAGUGGAGCAGCACUCGUACAACCAAAUUUGAAUGGCCAGAGGCAUUCCAUGUAGCAUAUAAAACUUGCCUUUUGGUUUCAACUUUUUAUUCAAGCUCUUUGCUAAUUCCUCAAAUGCAAUAGACCCCCAAGGAUAAUCACUGUAGUGACCACUCUCAACUAAAUUUAAAUAUAGCCGCAGAAUUAUUACAGUAUCAACAGCAGACAACAAAAAUACAUGAAUAAAAUAGAGAUUAGCAAACUUCACGGCAUCUUCAUCAUUGUCUUUUCCCCAUAUUUUUCUAGAAAAAGCAACAAAUAAUUCUCUUUUUUGAAUAUACUUGGCACCACCAAAAUAGUCCUCAAUAAGUCUAUUCGGAAGAUCUUCAUCAAACACAAAAUCAUCCUUGUUUGAAACACAAUUCAAACCAGUAACCACAACAAACUCUCUAGGAUUAAAAUGAAGAUUUGUGCCCUUCGCACGAAUUACUAUGGAAUUUGUAGUGCUUUCCUUAGUGUCAAGCGACAUAAUACAUCUUCCAAACUGCGCUUGAACCACAUAACUCUUUUUCUUCAUGAAGACAGUAAAUAUGCUAUUAUUACAAAUGAUAUUAUACUGAUUCUUCGUUAAAGUUGACUUAAUGCGAUGUUCAAUGUCAUUGACAGUAUGACAUCCUAUAUGUGGAGCAAAUUUUGGCAAUAUACUUGCCAUGUAUAUCUGAUCACGCAAAAUUUAUACACCACAAAAUACAAUUAUAUAUCAAAACAGUGGCAUAUAUGUAUUUAUGAAAUACAGCUUAAAGUUACAUUAUUCCUAAAUUAAAUCUAAAAAAGAAAAAUUCAUAUGUAUUUUAUUUAUACAUAACUAUGUCGAAAAAUCAUUCAAAUUAACAAGAAGAUGUACAUGACUUUGUCUAAAUCAAAUUAAUAAAAAAUACAACUUGACAUCAAAUACAAACAUUAACAGUAAACAAAACAAAAAAAUAUCUAUAUUUUACAUGUCAAAAGAGUGAGAAUUAUGUAUUUACAGAAUACAACUAAUUACAAUAAACAUGUAGAUAUGUAUUUUAUGAAUACAACAAGUAUAUACAAAUUAUAAAUUUCACAAAAAUACAUAUAAUUAGGGGCUACAAUUUCAUAUCUUAACAACCUUAAGAAACUAAAAUAUCACAAAUACAUAUAAUUAGGGGCUACAAUUUCAUAUCUUAACAACACAAUAUACACUAAAAUUUCAAAUCAUAAAGAAACGAAAAAUUAAAUACAUACCUAAUAAAGUGUAUAUAGAAAAUACAUCUAUGAACAUGUUUUCAAGAAAGAUACAAAAUUUAAAAAAUAGAAACAUACCUCCUCCACUUUCUCUUCUUCUGAUUCAAAAUCAGAUGAAACAGGACUUGAAAUUUUAAUACAUUCACCUUUUUCAUUUGGCUUUGUCUUUUUCAUUGAUUUUUGAAUUUUUGGGGGUUUUGGGGAUGAAGGUUUUGUCAACUCUUUUCGCUUCAUUUUUUCACAAUAUUGGGCGGCAAGGUGCAUCAGGGAGAAUGCAAGUGAGGUGUUGGGUGUUUCUAGGGGCCGGGUCGGGCACCGUCGGGGGGAUUGGUGGUGGAAUGAAGAGGUGGAGAAGAAAGUGGGGACCAAGAAAGGGGCGUAUGCUAAGUUGGUGGAAAGUAAGGACGAAGAGGAGAAGCGGGUAAACAGGAAAGAGUACAAGCUAGCGAGGAAGGAGGCGAAGUCAGCAGUCACGGCAGCUAAGACGACCGCUUUUGAGAGCUUGUAUGCAGGGUUGCAAGAGAAAGGAGGGGAGAAAAAGUUGUUUAGACUCGCUAAGGCUAGGGAGAGGAAGGGUCGUGACCUCGAUCAGGUGAGGUGCAUUAAGGGGGAGGACGGUAGAGUGUUGGUGGAGGACGGCCACAUAAAGAAGAGAUGGCAGUCGUACUUUCAUAGGCUCUUGAAUGACGAGGGGGACAGAGCUAUUGUGUUAGGGGAACUGGAGCACUCAGGGGAGUGUCGGGAUUUUAGCUAUUGUAGACGUUUUAAGGUAGACGAGGUUAGACAGGCAGUCAAGAGGUGAGGCGUGCUGUCCGUAGGAGGCGAAGGGGUAGGGCGACGGGGCCGGAUGAGAUACCGGUGGAAUUUUGGAAGUUCGUUGGAGAGGCUAGUGUAAGGUGGUUGACUGAAUUUUUUAAUGAAAUCUUCAGGACGGCAAAGAUGCCCGAGGCGUGGAGGUGGAGUACCAUGAUCCCUCUCUAUAAGAAUAAGGGGGACAUUCAGAGUUGCAAUAACUAUAGGGGGAUUAAGUUACUGAGUCACUCUAGGAAGAUCUGGGAGAGAGUGGUCGAGGUGAGACUGAGACGGAUAGUAUCUAUUUCGAAAAACCAGUUUGGAUUUAUGCCCGACCGCUCGACGACGGAGGCAAUCCACCUGGUACGGAGGUUGGUGGAGCAAUAUANNNNNNNNNNNNNNNNNNNNNNNNNNNNNNNNNNNNNNNNNNNNNNNNNNNNNNNNNNNNNNNNNNNNNNNNNNNNNNNNNNNNNNNNNNNNNNNNNNNNNNNNNNNNNNNNNNNNNNNNNNNNNNNNNNNNNNNNNNNNNNNNNNNNNNNNNNNNNNNNNNNNNNNNNNNNNNNNNNNNNNNNNNNNNNNNNNNNNNNNNNNNNNNNNNNNNNNNNNNNNNNNNNNNNNNNNNNNNNNNNNNNNNNNNNNNNNNNNNNNNNNNNNNNNNNNNNNNNNNNNNNNNNNNNNNNNNNNNNNNNNNNNNNNNNNNNNNNNNNNNNNNNNNNNNNNNNNNNNNNNNNNNNNNNNNNNNNNNNNNNNNNNNNNNNNNNNNNNNNNNNNNNNNNNNNNNNNNNNNNNNNNNNNNNNNNNNNNNNNNNNNNNNNNNNNNNNNNNNNNNNNNNNNNNNNNNNNNNNNNNNNNNNNNNNNNNNNNNNNNNNNNNNNNNNNNNNNNNNNNNNNNNNNNNNNNNNNNNNNNNNNNNNNNNNNNNNNNNNNNNNNNNNNNNNNNNNNNNNNNNNNNNNNNNNNNNNNNNNNNNNNNNNNNNNNNNNNNNNNNNNNNNNNNNNNNNNNNNNNNNNNNNNNNNNNNNNNNNNNNNNNNNNNNNNNNNNNNNNNNNNNNNNNNNNNNNNNNNNNNNNNNNNNNNNNNNNNNNNNNNNNNNNNNNNNNNNNNNNNNNNNNNNNNNNNNNNNNNNNNNNNNNNNNNNNNNNNNNNNNNNNNNNNNNNNNNNNNNNNNNNNNNNNNNNNNNNNNNNNNNNNNNNNNNNNNNNNNNNNNNNNNNNNNNNNNNNNNNNNNNNNNNNNNNNNNNNNNNNNNNNNNNNNNNNNNNNNNNNNNNNNNNNNNNNNNNNNNNNNNNNNNNNNNNNNNNNNNNNNNNNNNNNNNNNNNNNNNNNNNNNNNNNNNNNNNNNNNNNNNNNNNNNNNNNNNNNNNNNNNNNNNNNNNNNNNNNNNNNNNNNNNNNNNNNNNNNNNNNNNNNNNNNNNNNNNNNNNNNNNNNNNNNNNNNNNNNNNNNNNNNNNNNNNNNNNNNNNNNNNNNNNNNNNNNNNNNNNNNNNNNNNNNNNNNNNNCGUGUUCCAUGUUUUAUUACGAAUCUGUGUGCUUUCCUCUUCUUUCCUUUGUUUUAUAUUACUUAUGGGUGCCGUAUUUAUGUUAUGUAAUCUACUUCUGUGCUUUACUAUGUGUUUGUGUGGUAUCUCGUGUCUUGAGCCGGGGGUCUAUCAAAAACAGCCUUUCUACUUCAUCAGAGGUAGAGGUAUGGACUGCGUACAUCUUACCCCCCCAGACCCCACUAGGUGGGAAUACACUGGGUUUGUUGUUGUUGUUGUUGUUGUUGUUACAGUGCUUCAAUCUCACUCCUUCACUGCUAACACCUUCCUUAGGCUGAAUAUUAGAAGAACCCAAGUUAAAAACUUCAUCUUGAGUUAAGCCGAGAUUAAAAGAUGGAAGUUCAUCAAAAACUAAAUCCAUCGAUUUAUUACCACUAACUGAAAUACUACCCUUUGCAUGUUGUGCCAUUAUAUCGAAAAAUCAAAGAUUUCAACACACUCAAAAAAAAAAUCAAACCCUAAUUGACGACGAAGAAGAUGAAUGAAAAAUUAAAAAAAAAUCGACAAUAAAACAAUUAAAAGAGUUUAUAUGGAAAAUAUAACAUGCAUUAAUUGAAAAAUAAACUUACCUUAAAAUUUGGAUGCAAAGAUUAUCAAGAUUUUGAGAGAAAAAAAAUAAAAUUUGAAAAAAAAAAAAGAGUUGGAGGGAAUUGGAAUUGGAAUAUGGCGUGAAAAAGGGAGAAGGUAAAAAAGUUGAGUUAAUGUCACGUGCUUUUCCCAAUAUAAGGUAAAAUAUUGCUAGUUUUGUUAUUAGUUGUAAUUUUUAAAACUAUUGCUAUAAAUUGUAAUUAAUGUCUUAAGGUUGUUAGUUUAUGUAAUUUUUUCUAUUUUAAAAUAGUACUAAAAUACACGUUUAUCUCCCAACGUUUAGUGCAAAGUUUGUUUUACAAUAUAUAUGAUAAUUUUAAAUGGCACACACAUACUCAUUAAAGUGCCCAAUGACCACUAGUUAACAUUAAAGUGUCUAAUUUAUAAGGUUAAUCAAGUUUAAGAGGCUAUAUAGGUAUGUAAUCAUUUAUUUAUAAUUAUUUUUUUUUAAUUUGUUAUUCGGUGUCCGCUACUCACGUUAGAAUUUGAUUCAUUCGAAUUUUUGCCAGGAGGUCCUUCUAUGGGGGGUAAAGCGCUUCCUACCAAAGGUGACUCCAUAUUUAGGGCUCGAACUCGAGAUCUCUGAUUAAAUAUGGAGAAGUACUUACCACUCUAUCAAAACCUUUAGGGAUCGUUUGGUAGAGUGUAUUGGAAUGUUAAUGCAUACAUUAGUUUAAUGUGUAUUAGUAGUACCUUGUUUGGUAUAUCUUUUUACCCUAUGUAUACAUUAGUUAUACACUCAAUUGUGUAUUGAGGUGAGUAUUACUAAUACCUCAAAAUCCAUGACAUUAGUAAUGCAAUGGAUCUAAUGUAUGCAUUAAUAUGCUUAAAGACCCUAUUACUCCUCAAAAAAAAUUUCACAUCCUUUCCAAUAUAUAUAUUGAGGGUAUUAUGAAUUUUUUUUUUUUUAGAAAUUAUGUGAUUCAUGUUUUUUUUUUAUUACAUCGAACCAAACACUGCAUAAGAAAACAAGCAUAACUAACACAAAUAUUACUAAUACACCAUAUUUUACAUUAUUCUUAUACACUCUACCAAACGAUCCCUUAGUGUUUUAAAACCAAAAUCUUAUUCAGUCCUAACAAUUUAUUGAAUUUGGAAUAUAUGCAUGUAUGUAAAUGCCGUGUAUUAUAUAGAUUAUUAUUUUCGUAAAUCAGAACAUCUUCAGCGAGUAAUAGAUUACCUUCCAAAAAUAGUGAGUCAAGAUUGGCUAUUGAUCUUUUUUCAAGUCCUUGAGAAAUGUCCAAAUUAAAAUUUUAAUAGAGACACUUAAUUUACGGAAAAUCAGAUUUAACUACUGAUAUUAUAUCAAGUUUUCAAAUUAAAAUUUUUAAUAGAGAUAGAUACUUAUCAUUUUUUAGGAAAUCAGAUUUAACUAUUGGUAUAUUAUGACAAGUCUUUAAAGAAAGGUCCAAAUUAAAAUUUUAAUAGAGACACUUAAUUUGCAUGAAAUCAUAUUUAACUACUGAUAUUAUAUCAAGUCUUCAAAGAAAUAUUCAAAUUAAAAUUUUUAAUAGAGAAAGAUACUUAUCAUUUUUUAAGAAAUCAGAUUUAACUAUUGGUAUAUUAUGUCAAGUCUUUAAAGAAUGGUCCAAAUUAAAAUUUGAUUAAGAUACUUAUAAUUAGCCUAACUUGUAUAUAAACAUGGAGAGUGUGCCCAAAAAACUCAUAAAUCAUAUACACUACAUUGUUUUUUAUUGGUGAUAGAAAAAUGGCAAUGUCUCCAAAAACUUUUUUGGUCUUUCUUGUUCUUGCUGCCACUGCAUUAGGUAUCUUUUUUUCUAGAAUAAAUUAUUAUAGUCAAAUUGUUUGGGGUUCAAAUAUACAAUUUGUUGUAAUUUUAGUAAAAUUUUGCACAUAAAUUUAUACUAUUAGUUAAAAAUAUUAGGUUCAAAUGAAUGCAGUGUUAAAACACUGCAUCCAUCCUUAGUAAUUAUUAUUACUAAUGUUUUUAUUUAUAUUAAAGAAAGUAAAAUUAACUCUUACAAAUGUCUGAGCAUUAUAGUUAUUUUUUUUUUUGGUAAAGAAGGAGCAUUAAAUUAAAUUGUACAGUUUGUUACAAGCAUAGCCCACUAAUCAGUCGGGCUCAAAAACAUCCGCAUAUAGUUAAUACAUAGUUUAAUGUUUCUGCUAAAUUGAGUUCCUAAAAUGUUUGCCCAGACAUGCUUUAGUGCAUACAUAGGCGGAACUUCCAAAAUAUGGGUGUUGCCAAAAAAUUUCAUCCUUGCUCCUUCCUUUGAUUGAGAGUCUGUCUCUUGGUUCUGCUCCCUAAAAUAGUGUUUCACCAGUGGAAGUCCCACCCUUCUCACAGACCUACAAGCAUAUGAUUGGGUUAUAGUGAAGAUUUUAUGUUUAAGCAUGUGGAUUAUCUUUUUGGAAUCAACAUUAAUUUCAAGAGGAUUGAGGUUGUUAGCUUAUGCUAACUUCAGGCCUUCCAGAAGUGCAAUUAGCUCCAUUUGGUUGUUGAUUGCUUUGGAAAUCUCUUACAGAACCCCAGUAUCCAGCCCCCCUUGUCAUUUCUAAUUGUGCCUCCCACACCUUCAAUUCUGGGAUUUUCUAGGCAUGAACCAUUGGUAUUAAGUUUAUAGGAACCUCUUGAAGAGGUGUUCCAUUUAACGGAAACAAAGAUGGUUUGGGGGGCUUGAGUCUGUGGAGUGUUAGUCAGGUAAGUAAACUCCACAGCUGCAGCAUAUGCAUUCUCAAACUUGGGUAAAGCAUUGAGAUUUUUAAAAACGUUCUCAUUCCAACAUUUUCAAACCCCCCAAAGACAGAAAGCAGUUAAGACAUCAAAACUAAUGCGGUUGUAAAGGGGUGUUAUGAAAUCAGGUCUUGGUUUCAUCAAGCAUGUCAUCAUCUAUGACAUUUGGGAGGUUGGGUCUUGGGCAUCCCAUUUUUGUGAAUAGGCAUGUCCAGAUGACAGAUGUCUAAGGGUAAUCCCAGAACAGAUGGAUAAUGAUUUCAGGAAUGGUAUUACACUUCCAACAGUUGGGUUAUAUCGGAACUCUCGUCUUGUUGAGGGUAAAGUUAUACGAUAACCUAUUAUGAUUGAGAAGGCAAAGAAAGUGUUUGAUCUUGUUGAAAAUUUUCAUGGCCCAGAUCCAUUUGAAUUCUUUAGAGUUGGUGUGUUUUUUAUUUCCAGUGCUGAUAAGUUUAUAAGGGUUGCUACUGGUAAAGAUGUCAUUGAUAGUUAAUCCUCGGAUAGGGUAAUCAUUGGGAGUCCUAGUAGUAGGGAAGAAGCUGCUUUGGAUAGUGGAGAGAGGAAGCUCAAAUGGGAGGGAAGAGAAGUCCCAAGUACCAUUCCUCCAAAUAUCUGAGACUUUGAUUUGAUGGAGAUUUCUAGUUGCAGGUUUCUGAAUAGUAUUAGAAAGAAGCUUAGUGUUAGGUAACCAUUUAUCAAUCUAGAAGUUAACUUGGUCUCCCUUGUUGAUGAUCCAAAGGGUGGCUUCUUUGCAAAUUCUUUUUUCAUUAAUGAUGCAUUUUCAAGUUCUAGAAACCCCACUUUUGUUGUUAAUUUGGGAGUAUUUGUUGACUAAAACCCUUGACCAGAGAGUCUGGGUUUUUUAAUGAGCCUCCAGGCUAGAGAGGUGUGUAUAGAAGUGUUCUUUAGACUAACCUUUUGGAUUCCCAACCCUCCCAUGUUUUUGGGUUUAGUGAUCACCUCCCAGCUGAGCAUAUGCAUUUUUUUUAGCAUCAAUAGUGUCCCAAAUGAAAUUCCUUUGGAUUUUGUUUAUGUGAUAGUUGGUUCUGUGGGGAAUAGGGGUGUAUUGUAUAACAUGGUUAGGAAUGAUGUUAAGAGAGGCCUUUGCAAUAGUGAUUCUAUGAGACUACAACUCAACUUGCUUAAUAGGUAAAUAUAUAUAUAUAUAUAUAACUGUUUUCGAUAAAAAUUUUGAUCUUAUCACUAAUGAAGCGCAUUUAAUGACAGGUUGUGUAUCUGAUGAACAUUGUCACGAUUCAUGUUCCACAUAUUACAGUAAAGUAUGCCUAGAUAUUACUAGCAAUAAUGCAUGUAAAUCUUUUUGCUCAAGAUGAUUUGGAAGAAUUUGUGAUGCAAGAUGUAUAAUAGAUGACAAAGAUCUUGUUUGUGAAUGUCUCCUUCCAGAAGAUGAAUGUCCUUAAAAUUAAGUAAGGGUUGCAUUUAAUUUGUUUUCCUUUUCUCUUUUGCUAUUUUUCUUGAAAUAAUUAAUUUCCUACCUUUUAAUAAUUUGAAUUCUUAUAAUGCAAACUAAAAAUAAUUAGUUUAAUAAUUUUACUAUUAUAAAUUAAAAAAAUUAUGUCGUUAAUGUUAUAAAGACUAUUUCAAAAUUUUACUACUAGAUGUGUUAGCUGUGACCCAAAAAAAAGGGAUUAUGAUAGAAAAUUAACCCACAGUACUUUAAGUGUCUUAUUUUAUUUUUAAAAAUAUAAAAAAAUCAUCAAAUAAUCAUUUUUCUCUACCGUUGUCGUUUUUCUUUAUUUUUUUGGUUAAAAGGAGAAUUUACUUAUUUAACAACUAUAACGCCGAAUCAAUCAUUAGAUAAAAGAAACAGAUCGAAUUUUAGGCCUCCCAUAAGGUGAUCACUUUAGUUUUAAAAAGUAGUAGAAAAAAGGAUGAAUAAUUUGGUCAUUAUACGUCUAAAUUUAAUGAAAAUUUAUGUUAAAAAAAGACAACUCAAUACGCUAAGGUUUUCGCUUUACGCCAAAUUCAAGAAAAUGUCCGAUCAUAAAAAUUUAUUUUAUGCAAUCUUAACUUAUAGUGCAAGAGAUAAUUUUCAAUGCUUGACGUAUAAAUCACAUCAUAUCGAAACUCACAUCAAUAUGGGGUGUAAAUCAGAGACAUUUUUGACUAAGUAAAAGCAUCACUUUGAUUUUUCAUUUAAUUUUAAAGUCAUAUUUAUAAUUUUCUUAAUGGACAUAUUUAUAAUUUUUGAUUUACUGUCCAAAUUAAUUUAUUUAUUUUAAAAAAAAGAUUAUAUGGCUAUUAAUUUUUUUAAGAUUAUAAAUUUGGAUAUAAAAUUUUUUGGAAAGUCAUAUUUAUAAUUUUUUUAUUAACUGUCCAAAUUAAUUUGAUUAACUGUCCAAAUUAAGAUUUUAAUAGCCAUAUUUAUAAUUUUUUUAUGAUAUCAGAAUUAACUGUUAAUAUGUCAAGUUUUUAAACUUAUAAUUAGCCUAACUUGAAUAUAAAUAUGGAGAGUGUUCAUUGUAAACUCACAAAUCAUUGAGACUACAUAAAUUAUUCUUUCUUUCUCUUUAUUUUUUUAAUCGGUGAUAGAAAGAUGGCUAUAUCCUCAAAAAUCUUUGAGAUCUAUCCUGUCCUUGUUGCAAUUGCAUCAGGUAUCCUUAUUUUUUCAAGUAAAAGAAUUAUUAUAUCCAAAGACAUAGAACCAAUAUUUAAAUUUUGUUGGCUUAAUCUUUAAGUUGUUAUGCUAAAUUUAUAUUCUUAAAAUUAUAGGCAAAGGUAUACUAUUUUUUGUAUUUUUGAUGAAAUUCUACACAUAUAUUUAUAUAUUAUUAGUCAAAAAUACUAAAUUCAAAUGAAUACAGUGUUACAAUAUCACAUCUAUCCUUAAUAGUUAUACUGUUAAAUUCUUUAUUUAUUAGUUAACUUGUGCACAUCUGCAAGCAUUAUAGUUAUAUAUCUACAACUCAUAAAUCUAAACUAUUAAUUAAAAUGCUAGUUCAUUUAAUUUUGUCACUAACCAUUGUGUAUAUAAUCACAAGUUGUUUAGCACAGGACAAAUGUACAUGUUUCAAUUAUUAUAAUAAAAUAUGCAAAGACCUAUCUUUUGCUGCUAAUCGUGUAUGUGAAGGUUUUUGUACUGAACGAUUUGAAAAAAUAUGUGGAGCAAGAUGUGUACAAGAUGAUGAUAUUGUUUGUGAAUGUAUUAUUUCAGGAGAUAUAUGUGG
rnacentral:lncRNA from 1 species